rnacentral:sRNA from 1 species
AGCAAACCAGGGAUGUAACUCUUGGAAAUAUCUCCACUCUGCCGCAUCUGAAGGAUGAUUCAUUUCUCCCUCCUUUGAUUGGUGCUCAGCAUGCCAUCGCAUUGCUGCAGCUGUCUUGUGGCUCUGAUACAUUCUUUUUAACCGGUCUCAAAUAGGUAGAUAC